UCGUCGUCCGGCGUAGUCCGAAGACACAUUGGUUUUCGCACUCUAACUUUAGUUUAAGUGAAUGGAUCUCUAUGAAAUUUUACCAUAAGGUUCAAUACCACAAAAAGAAGGUUGGGAUUGAUUUUGGGGGUUAUGGUACCAACAGUUAAGGAAUUAGGGGCCAAAAAUAAGCAUUUUUGUAACUUCCAGACAUAACUUGUGUGUUAGUGUAUGGAUCUCUCUGACAUUGUACUACAAGGUUCCAUAUCACACAGGGAAUGCUGGGAUUGAUUUUGGGGGUAAUUGCCUCGAAAUAUUAGGAAUUAGGGGCCAAAAAAGGGGCAAAAAACAAGCAUUUUUCUAGUUUCAUGACAAUAACUUGUGUGUAAGUGUAUGGAUCUUUCUGAAAUUGUACUACAAGGUUCCAUAUCACAAAGGGAAAGCUGGAAUUGAGUUUGGGGGUAAUUGCCCAAAACGUUUAGGAAUAAGGGGCCAAAAAGGGGCCAAAAAUAAGCAUUUUUCUAGUUUCCAGACAAUAACUUGUGUGUACGUGUAUGGAUCUCUCUGACAUUGUACCACAAGGUUCCAUAUUACAAAGGAAAGGCUGGAAUUGAUUUUGGGGUAAUUGCCUCAAAAUAUUAGGAAUUAGGGGCCAAAAAAGGGCCAAAAAACAAGCAUUUUUCUAGUUUCAUGACAAUAACUUGUGUGUAAGUGUUUGGAUAUUUCUGAAAUUGUUCUACAAGGUUCCAUAUCAUAAAGGGAAAGCUGGAAUUGAGUUUGGGGGUAAUUGCCCGAAACGUUUAGGAAUUGGGGGCCAAAAAGGGGCCAAAAAUAAGCAUUUUUCUAGUUUCCAGUCAAUAACUUGUGUUCAAGUGUAUGGAUCUCUCUGAAAUUGUACUGCAAGGUACCAUACCACAAAGGGAAGGCUGGGAUUGAUGAUGGGGGUAAUUGCCUCAAUAUUUUAGGAAUUAGGGGGCCAAAAAGGGACAAAAAACAAGCAUUUUUGUAGUUUCAGGACAAUAACUUGUGUGUAAGUGUAUGGAUCUUUAUGAAAUUGUACUACAAGGUUCCAUAUCACAAAGGGAAAGCUGGAAUUGAGUUUGGGGGUAAUUGCCUAAAACGUUUAGGAAUAAGGGGCCAAAAAUAAGCAUUUUUCUAGUUUCCAGACAAUAACUUGUGUUCAAGUGUAUGGAUCUCUCUGAAAUUGUACUGCAAGGUUCCAUAUCACAAAGGGAAUGUUUGGAUUGAGUUUGGGUGUAAUUGCCCAAAACGUUUAAGAAUAAGGGGCCAAAAGGGGGCCAAAAAUAAGCAUUUUUCUAGUUUCCAGACAAUAACUUGUGUUCAAGUGUAUGGAUCUCUCUGAAAUUAUACUGCAAGGUACCAUACCACAAAGGGAAGGCUGGGAUUGAUUUUGGGGGUAAUUGCCUCAAAAUUUUAGAAAUUAGGGGCAAAAAACAAGCAUUUUUCUAGUUUCAGGACAAUAACUUGUGUGUAAGUGUAUGGAUCUUUAUGAAAUUGUACUACAAGGUUCCAUAUCACAAAGGGAAUACUGGGAUUGAUUUUUGGGGGUAAUUUCCUCCAAAUUUUGGGAAUUAGGGGCCAAAAAGGGGCAAAAAACAAGCAUUUUUCUAGUUUCAGGACAAUAACUUGUUUGUAAGUGUAUGGAUCUUUAUGAAAUUGUACUGCAAGGUUCCAUAUCACAAAGGGAAAGCUGGGUUGGAGUUUGGGGGUAAUUGCCCUAAACGUUUAGGAAUUAGGGGCCAAAAAGAGACAAAAAAGCAAGCAUUUUUCUAGUUUCCAGACAAUAACUUGUGUUCAAGUGAAUGGAUCUCUCUAAAAUUGUACUGCAAGGUACCAUACCACAAAGGGAAAGCUGGGAUUGAGUGUGGGGGCGAUGAAUCAUAAGGGGGUUCAAAAAAUUUGGGGGGGGGGGAUUUUUUUUUCCUUUUUUUUCUUUAAAAUUUUCCAUUUUAAAUUGGUUAUUUCUGAUUUAUAUAUAAAAGCAAAUAAUAAUGAUAUGGUUUGAAUAGCAUACAUGUGAACCUCCCGACAGGUGUACAAUAAUCCUGUUUUCAGGAGUCUCCUCCUGACGUCCGGUUGAAGAGGAAAAUUAUAAUCCCGUGUAUGAAAUUUUUCAUGAAUGAAAAAUUUCUGCCCAACAUAUCAUCUCAGGCAUCUGGUGUAACUCACAUUACCUGAAGUUAUAUUUUACCUGUAAAUCAAUUAACAUGCAUAAUUAUAUGGCUUCACUUGUCAGCUUGGGUGUCAAACAUACUGGUAAUCAAUGAUUUUUUACCUCAGGCUAACUGCCGUUGUGUAACAAAAACUGUGUAUUUAUUGGGUUACUUCCCUUGAUUUAUCCUGUUUUAAGUUACUUUCCUUUUAAUAAUGAAAAUUUUUAAAAGAAUAUAAAUAAAAUAUAAAUUGAACAAAUAAUCAUAAAAGGAUGGUAAAUAAAUAAUUUUAAAUGUCUUAGGACAAAUAAAACAAUAAUAAUUUGAAAAUUAUUUGAGGAUUCUAUACUUCCUUUCAAGGCUUAAAUUGAAAUUUAUAUAAUAAUUAUGACCCUUUGUUUUACAGUUAGAAUGAUUUUCUGAGUAUGCAAACAAAAGCUAUUUGCAGAUAGUUAAACAAAUGUUCUGGUUGCAAUAAAUGUUUUAUAGAAUAUGAAGUAAAAAAUUUAAAGAACAUACUGAAAAAAAAAAAUGUUAGAUUGAACAUGUAAAAUAUAAAGAUGGAGAAACUUUAUAAGUACAAGGGUACUAUAAACAUAAUAAAUUGGAUGGAAAGUUGAAGAAAAUACACUUUAAAAGACCAUUUUUACAGCACACGGUUACAUUUACGACAAAAUUUAUGUCGAUUAAAAACCUCCUGAUCUGAGUCCUAAUCUCCUGACCAAAAUUUCCCAAUCUCCUGAUCUGAGUUUCACAGUCCAUCACAUGUAUGAAUAGGUAAAUUAAAAAAUUAUAAGUUCUUAGACCACUUUCAUUCUGUGUCAGAAACCUAUGCUGUGUCAAAUAUUUAAUUACAAUCCAAAUUCAGUGCUGUAUCAAGCUUGAAUGUUGUGUCCAUACUUGCCCCAACUGUUCAGGGUUUGACCUCUGCGGUCGUAUCAAGCUGCGCCCCAGCAGAGCAUUUUAUUUGAUAUUAGAUAUGUACCCCGACUGGCAAGACCCUCAUGGGUAGUCAAAGGUUGUUCAAAGGUCCUGUAGUAGUUUUUACACCCCUCCUUCCCCAAACAAAUCAAUUUGUAUUUUUUUGCAUAGCUUAUUUAAUUUAUUUAUUUAAUAAUAUACAGGUAUUACAAAUUUACUUUGCAGUUCCCAUAGACUUACAAUCAUCAAAUGAAUAUGUGUUAUGGUAGACUAUGUCUUAAUUGAUUUUGUAUAUAUGAUUCUUGAAACAUUUUAGUGCUGCAUAUUUUAAUUUCCAGUGUAGUUAUUAUAUUUUAUAAUGGGAAUUACGUAUUUUAUAUAGUCAAUAUCUAAGAGAUGAUAUGGAAGGUGUAUUAAAUUUAAUGAGUUUUGAUUAGAUUAUCUUUGUGUGAGAGAGUUCAUGAUUGAAAUACGUACUAUGAUUGAUCAUACCAGGAUUGAUCGACAGUAAACAGUUUAAGAGAUGCGGUUUUCUUACAUGAUAUUAAAUCCAAAAUUUAUUUCUCAGAAGUUCUGAGGGUUUUGGGAUGUUUGAAUUCUACUCUUACUUUUGAAAGUUAAUUCAUUGACUAAUUCUGUUUGAUGAUUAAUGGGACCAUUACAGAAUUUUAUUUCACAUUUGAUUAAUAAAUGUAAUAUGGUUUUAAACAUGAAUUCUGAUUAAAAGAUAGAUUUUACUCUUUAAGAUGCAGAUUUUACUGUUAUUUCCACGGUAUUUUCACUACUGGCAUUGCCAUUUUUGCUUCUUUUUUGGUUUUUAGCCCAGACAAAAUCAUAAAUCUUCUCUUUGAUUUAGAUGGAACAAAAUGCUUGACCAGAUGAAAAAACAAAUACAAUGCAAGUAGUUUUAUUCAGGCAUGUUAAUUUUAGCUAUUGAAAGAAAAAGACAUGAUUCCUGGAAUUUUUAACUUGUAUAAUCAUACCUUUUAAAGAACAUAUUUGUAAAAGUUUGUAUUUAGUUCCAGAUUAUUAAAUUUUGUGGGUUUAUGAACUUGGUACACAAGGAACGGUAAUUUUUGACCAGUAAUGAUUUCAUGAAAUUCAUUAGAUUAAGGGUAAAAGCCACUGUUAGGUAUAACUUGAACUGUUUCAGGUCAUGUGUGAUUUUAUUCAGGAUUCAACAAAUGUGAUGGCGACAGAUGUUUUGUAUGUUAUUCAGGGGAGAUGACUCAUCUUAGUCUUUUUUUUGGAGAAGGUAGGCCUGUUUAAAUUGUCACUUUUACUAUUUUGAGAUUGUUAGGUGUUGAAAUCACUGUGGUAUAUGGAACUGCCUGAUUUGAUUGACUCUUGCUUAAUAUCAACUAAGCUCAGCCUAAGUAAUUGCAUUUUUUUUGCUUUCAACACCCACUUUUCUCCAAUAGUUCUUGUAACAAUUUGGAUAGAAUUGAUUACUUGGAAGAAAAAAGAAAGCAGGUGAAAUGUCUUUGUUGUAAGAUAAGGAUUGAUGGGAGUAUGCAUUUCAAUUGUUUUGAAUUAAUGAUUUGUAUCUAUUUAUCAGGCUGUUGCCAGAAACAUUAUGUAAAUAAUAAUUUGAUUAAAAUAUCUGUUGCAAA